GAUGAACGCUAGCGGCAGGCCUAACACAUGCAAGUCGAGGGGUAGCAGGAUUAAGCUUGCUUAAUUGCUGACGACCGGCGCACGGGUGCGUAACGCGUAUGCAACCUACCUUAUACUGGGGUAUAGCCCGGAGAAAUUCGGAUUAAUCCCCCAUAGUACCAAUGAAUCGUAUGGUUUAUUAGUUAAAGCAUUGCCGUAUCACAUGGGCAUGCCUCCUAUUAGCGAAGUGGUGAGGUAACGGCGCGCCAUGGCUACGAUGGGUAGGGGGCCUGAGAGAGUGGUCCCCCACAAUGGUACUAAGACACGGACCAGACUCCGACGGAAGGGAGCAGUGAGGAAUAUUGGUCAAUGGACGCAAGCCUGAACCAGCCGUGCCGCGUGCAGGAAGAAUGCCCUAUGGGUUGUAAACUGCUUUUAUUUGGGAAUAAACCUCUUUACGUGUAGAGAGCUGAAGGUACCAAAUGAAUAAGCACCGGCUAACUCCGUGCCAGCAGCCGCGGUAA
rnacentral:rRNA from 1 species